rnacentral:lncRNA from 1 species
UCUCGAGUAAUGGAAAGUCCCUAAAUUCUGUUGCCUGGAGAAGCAGAACCUUCCAAAAUGUGUGAAGAAAGGCCUGAUCCAGCUUGCCCAGCUGGCCCCUGAGGUAGUGAGUCUUUGCAUUUGGUGUGGGCCGUGCUGUGGGCUGACUUAUGCAGCAGCAACUCUGUAUGUGAUCUCCAACUCAACUUGGAGAGAGGAAUCUGUGAGGCGGGUAUCCAUCAAGAGAUGAAACUGUGCUGUGUAAAAUGGAGUCUUGUCCAUCUACAAAGAAGAAUGAAAUCAAGACUUUUGCAGGACAGUAGAGGGGCAUGGAGGACCACCAUGCUAAGUGGAAGGAUCUAGUGCAUGCAGCGAAAGGUAAUGGAUGGUCACAGUGUACUAUGUACUUGAACACAAGUGCUGCUGCCAAUCCUGUCUCUUCAUGCUAUGAAUAUACGCUAAUAAAUUUUAUAAACACAUUGAAGCAUUCUUAAUGAAACUGCUAAAAUGCACAGCAAAUUGCAUUUGAAGUAGGUAGACCCUUUUAACAAUAUCACAAGUCAGACAAGGGUCUGACAUCUUCAUUUGACUGAAAGGAAGUAACUGGCAGCACAGCAUUCUACAAGACCACACAGUAGUCUGUAAAAACGAGUGUGAAGGAAAAUAUUUCAGAAAAAUAGUAUGCAUAUGUUGCUUUUUAUAACCCACACUUGUCAGAAAAUUAUCAUUUAUCUUUGCUAAUAGCCAUUCUCAA